AGAAAGGACUUUGCAAGGUAAGUACCCAGUCAAAAAACACUUAAGCCACCAAUGAACUUGGAGACACCAAUCCAUAUCUGAGCUUUCCCAGGAAUGUGGCCUGGCUGGUAAGGAACUCAGUCAUGCAUGGACAUGUGACUUGUCCAUGU